rnacentral:ncRNA from 1 species
CCGUCGUCGAAAGGGAAACAGCCCAGAUCGUCGUCUAAGGUCCCCAAGCGUGUGCUAAGUGGGAAAGGAUGUGGAGUCGCAUAGACAGCCAGGAGGUUGGCUCAGAAGCAGCCAUCCUUGAAAGAGUGCGUAACAGCUCACUGGUCUAGUGGUUCCGCGCCGACAAUGUAGCGGGGCUCAAGCACACCACCGAAGACGCGGCAGCAUGCCUUUGGCGUGCUGGGUAGGAGAGCGUCCUGUCAGGGGCGAAGCGGCGGCGCAAGCCGGCCGUGGACUUGGCGGGAGUGAGAAUGCAGACAUGAGUAGCGAAAGCGGGGUGAGGAUCCCCGCCGCUGGAUGACCAAGGGUUCCGGGGCCACGUUCGUCGUCCCCGGGUGAGUCGGGUCCUAAGGCGAGGCCGACAGGCGUAGUCGAAUGGAUGAACGGGUUGAUAUUCCCGUACCGGCAUGAGACCGGCAAAACCGAGGCUUGGAGUACUAACCUCCGCCCCCGGGCUUACCUUUCCUUCGGGAGGGGGAUGCGUGGUGGUGUUGGGACCGGUCCUUGUAGUAGGUCAGCGCAGGAGUGACGCAGGAGGGUAGCCGGCCGCGGAGGUGGUUUUCCGUGGUCAAGCACGCGGCCCGUCCCCCAGGCAAAUCCGGGGGGCGCGAGGGUGAGGUGCGAUGAUGGGCGCCGUUGGGCGCGAAUCCGGUGAUCCCAUGCUGCCGAGAAAAGCUUCGGCGUGAGGGCUUGUGCCGCCCGUACCCCAAACCGACACUGGUGGUCAGGUAGAGAAUACCAAAGCGAUCGAGCGAAUCCUGGUCAAGGAACUCGGCAAAUUACUCCCGUGCCUUCGGUAUAAGGGAGGCCCCUGAUGGUGAACCGGCUUGCCCGGGGAGCUGUUGGGGGUGGCACAGACCAGGGGGUAGCGACUGUUUACCAAAAACACAGGAGCGUGCGAAGGCGCAAGCCGCUGUAUACGCUCUGACGCCUGCCCGGUGCCGGAAGGUUAAGAGGAUCCGUCAGCCCCUUUGUUGGGGUGAAGCGGUGAAUUCAAGCCCCGGUAAACGGCGGUGGUAACUAUAACCAUCCUAAGGUAGCGAAAUUCCUUGUCGGGUAAGUUCCGACCUGCACGAAUGGCGUAACGACUUCCCCACUGUCUCGACCAGGAGCUCGGCGAAAUUGCAGUACGAGUAAAGAUGCUCGUUAAGCGCAGAAGGACGAAAAGACCCCGGGACCUUUACUAUACCUUGGUAUUGGCAUUAGGCGCGGAUUGUGUAGCAUAGGCGGGAGGCUUCGAAGCGGGUGCGCCAGCAUCCGUGGAGCCGCAAGGUGAAAUACCGCUCUGUUCUCGUUUGAUGUCUCACCUCGACCAGUCAUCCUGGUCAGGGACAGUGCCUGGCGGGUAGUUUAACUGGGGCGGUUGCCUCCCAAAGAGUAACGGAGGCGCUCAAAGGUUCCCUCAGCCCGGUUGGCAAUCGGGUGUUGAGUGUAAUCGCACAAGGGAGCUUGACUGCGAGACCGACGGGUCGAGCAGGGACGAAAGUCGGAGAUAGUGAUCCGGUGCCGGCGCACGGGCGCGGCAUCGCUCAACGGAUAAAAGGUACCCCGGGGAUAACAGGCUGAUCAUUCCCAAGAGUCCAUAUCGACGGGAUGGUUUGGCACCUCGAUGUCGGCUCGUCGCAUCCUGGGGCUGGAGCAGGUCCCAAGGGUUCGGCUGUUCGCCGAUUAAAGCGGCACGCGAGCUGGGUUCAGAACGUCGUGAGACAGUUUGGUCUCUAUCCUCUGCGCUCGUUGGAAUCUUGAGGAGACCUGCCCAUAGUACGAGAGGACCUGGGUGGACGAACCUCUGGUAUGCCGGUCGUCACGCCAGUGGCGCGGCCGGUUGGCUACGUUCGGAAGGGAUAACCGCUGAAAGCAUCUAAGCGGGAAGCCUCCUCCAAGAUCAGGAUUCCGUGGCACCCUCGAGUGCCUGUAGUCCCCAUGCAGAACACGUGGUUGAUAGGCCGGACGUGGAAGCCCCGCGAGGGGUGGAGCUGACCGGUACUAACGGACGAAAGGCAAUCACGC